AGUGGAUCAUCCUGCACUGUGCACUGUGACUGGCAGGGGGCGCCGAAACCGCCUUUUCUGCCCCACAUGGUGCGCAUGCGUGUUCUCACCGCAGAGGCUUCAUGGCGUGCGUGGUGUAAACGGCUGCGGUUCCUUCGGGACCCGCUUGAGGGGGCACCGCGGCGGCUUGGGGAUGACUUGGAGACCCCCCCCCCGGGGAGGAAACAGCUCCUGUCUGUGGCCGUGGCUGUUUAGGUGGGAGCUGCCUGCAGCUCAGAUUCUCCAGGGCACUUCUUUCUACACGGUCACUCUCACCCAAGCUGGAGCACAGUGGCAUAUCACAUGACCAUGCAGAUUGGAAUACUGGCUACCUACAGCUUGCAACAAAAUUUGAUAUCAGGAAUUAGUGUUGCUCUUCGCCAUGCUGGAGUGCAGUGGUGCGAUCUUGGCUCACUGCAACCUCCACCUCCGGGGUUCAAGCGAUCCUCCUGAGUAGCUGGGACUACAGACGCGUACCAACAUGCCUGGCUAAUAUUUUUUUUUUUUUUUGUAUUUUAGUAGAGACAGGGUUUCAUCAUGUUGGGCAGGAUGGUCUCGAUCUCCUGACCUCGUGAUCCACCCGCCUUGGGCUCCAAAAGUGCUGGGAUUACAGGCAUGAGCCACCACGCCUGCCCACUUUUUUUUUUUCUCUUUUAGACAGAGUCUCCCUCUGUCGCUAGGCUAGAGUGCAGUGGCGUGAUAUCAGCUCACUGCCACCUCCGCCUCCUGGGUUCAAGCAAUUCUCUGGCAUCAGCGUGUUGAGUAGCUGGGAUUACAGGCAUGCAGAACCAUGCCUGGCUAAUUUUUGUAUUUUUACUAGAGAUUGGGUUUCACCAUGUUGGCCAGGCUGGUCUCGAACUCCUGACCUUGUGAGCCACCAUGUCUGGUCUAGGGUGCGUAGGAUGCCUUCUCUUUGGGUUCAUUUAUUCUGUCCUGUGCAGAGGCUCUAAUGUUGUACUUAGUCUCUCAGGUUUAUAUUUGCAUUUGUUGGCAGUGAUUUACGUGUCCCGUACAAAAAAAGAGAUUGUUAAGCCAUUUUAUUGUCUACAAGUAUUUAUCCCCUCAUUUUUCCUUCUCUUUUUCUUUUUUCUUUUUGCAACCUAUGUGCACAGGGCCACGUUUCCCCCAAAUAUACGCUAAUCCCAUGUUUUCUCCUUGGAGUGUUUUGCUUUCAGGAUUUAAUUUAACUGUUUGAUUUAUUUUUCAUAGAUUUUUGUGUAUUGGGCAGCAUAGGGGUGCUAUUUCAAUCUUGUGCACAUGACUACCCAGUUUUCUCAACUGUUGUGCCUUGGUGUGCUUUUGCAAAAUGUGUGCCCUAAAUAUAAUUUUGGGUUGAUUACUUGGCUCCCUCAUUUUGUGCAUUCGGUUGUCUUUCUAUAUUUAUGCCAGUCAGUGAUUGCCUGGAUGACUGUAGGUUUUGUUGUAUCUAUCAUCCAUGUAUGUAUAUAUGUAUCUAUCUAUAAUAUAUUCUAAUCCUAUUUUUUGUUUUUUGCUUUUUUUGAGACAUGUUAUUGCUCUGUCACCCAGGCUGGAGUUCAGCGCUGCGAUCUUGGCUCAUUGCAGCCUUGACCUCCCGGGCUCAAGUCCUCCCUCCUCAACCUCCCAAGUAGCUGGGACUACAGGUGGGCACCACCAUGCCCCACCAAUUUUUUUGUACUUUUUGUAGAGGUAGGUUUUGCCAUGUUGCCCAGACUUCUCUCGAACUCCCAGGCUCAAGUGGUCUGCCUGGCCUCCCAAAUUGCCGUGAGUACUUGUGGGAGCCACUGUGCCCGGGGAAACCCUGUUUUAAAAUAUAUAUAUAAUUGACUUAUUUUGAUUAAAUUGCAGGUUAGUUACAUGUGAACAUUUGAUAACACCGAGGCUUGUGGCCACUGAUCCCGUCACUGACAGGCAGUGAGCAAAGUGCCUGUCAGGUGGUUCUUCCGCCCACACCCCCUUUCUGCCUCCUUUUUUCAUCUGAUAGUGCCCAGUGUCUAUUGUUUCCAUAUUUAUGUUUGAAUGUAUUCACUGUUCAGCUCCCACUCAUAAGUGAGAACAUGGAGUAUUUGGUUUUCUGUUGUUGCCUUGGUUUGCUAAACAUGAGAAUCCCCAGGUCUAUCCAUGCUGCUUAGGACAUGAUUGUGUGUUUUUCUUAUGGCUGCGUAGUAUUUUGUGGUGUGUAUGCCCCACAUUAAAAAAAAAAAGUCGAAUCCACUGUUGCUGGUCACCUAGGAUGCUUCCACGUCUUUGUUCUUGUGAGUGGCACAGCCAUGAAUGCACGAGAGCAUGUGUCUUUUUGAUAGAAGGAUUUUUGUCUUUAGGGUAGGUACCAAGUAGUGGGAUUGCUGGGUCUGAUGGUAGUUCUGUUUUAAGUUCUUUGAGAGUCUCUAAACUGCUUUGCACAGUGUGAACGUUUUCACGUUGACCAAGAAUGUAGCAGCAUUCCCUUUCCUUUGCUUCUCGCCAGCAUGUUGUUUUGACUUUGGAAAAAUGGCCAUUCUUACCAGCAUGAGAUGGUAUCUCAUUGUGUUUGUGAGUUGCAUUUCACUGAUGAUUAGUGAGGUUGUGCAUUUUUUCAUGUCCGUUGAUUACUUGAAUGUCUUUUUUUUUUUUAUUUUUUUUAUUUUAUGAGACAGUGUUUCUCUUUGUUGCCCAGACUGGAGUGCAGUGGCGCAAUCUUGGCUCACUGCAACCUCCACCUCCUGGGUUCAGGCGAUUCUCCUGCGUUUAAAUGGUACAAACUUUUCACUUGGGAUGAUGAGAAAGUUAUGGAAAUUGAUAAUGGUAAUGACUCUAUUGCUUUUUUGUAGGAGGUGGUGUCUUGCUCUGUUGCCCAAGCUGGAAUGCAGUGGUGCAAUGAUAGCUCACGGCAUCCUUGAACUCCUGGGUCUAGGCAAGCCUCCUGCCUGAGACUCCUGAGUAGCUGGGACUACAGGUGCAAGCCGCCAUGCCAGGCAAUUCCAUCACAUUGUGAAUGUACUUGACACCACUGGAUUUUACAGUUAAAAGUGAUUUAAAUGGCAAAUUUUACGUUGUGUAUAUUUUAUGACAAUUAAAAAUAUACUUGUUCAAAUGUCAAAAUAUAUACAAUGUUAUAUUCAUAAAAUUUUCCUUUUCACACUUAUGUAUUUAUCCUAUUCUAACUCAUUCUCAUCAAUUAAAAAAGCACUGUAAUUACUGGUCAUUAUGUACUAAACUUUCUAUAAUUCACGUUGAAGCCUUAACCCCCAAUGUUACUGUAUUUGGAGACAGAGCAUUACAGAGGGUAAUUAAGAUGAAAUGAGAUCAUAACGAUCUCAUAAGAGGAGAUUAGAAAAUGGACAACAUAAAAUGAGAUGAGGACAGAGUGAGAAGGUGGUCAUCUACAAGUGUGGACACAUCUUCAGUUUGUGUGGAGUAACAGUUGAAGGGCUCGCCCAUCCUAUAAUGAAAGUUGGAACAGGUGCCUUGGGCGGGCUCCAGGAUUAACUGAUGUAGUCACUGCAUCCCACUGUGGGACCCCAGAGGGAAAGAAGCACUGUGGAGAUUCCUGAGACAUUAGAAACGGAGCCCGAGAAGUUUCCAGGACACCUACAUGGGCUCCAGGUGAAGCAGGGGCCCAGGGAGACCUUGUCUGAGCCCUGAGUGUGACGCAGCGCCUGGCCACUAGGGGGAGGCAAACUCUGUGAAUCCUGUGGGACCUGAGCUCUUGCUCUGAGCCCUGCCCUUGCUAAUCACUAGCCCUGGGAGGGAGCAGAUUUGCAUGGAAUGUGAUGCCCCUGCCCAGUCCUUCACUGAGGGGAUAAGAGGCUUUGGGGCCUCAGGCUCAGCUGAGAGACUGAAGAACCCAGCUUUGCAGCAGCUCCGCCAUGGCCUGGGCUCCUCUGCUCCUCACCCUCCUCAGUCUCCUCACAGGGUCCCUCUCCCAGCCUGUGCUGACUCAGCCACCCUCGGCAUCGGCCUCCCUGGGAGCAUCGGUCACACUCGCCUGCACCCUGAGCAGUGGCUACAGCAAUUAUAAGGUGGACUGGCACCAGCAGAGACCAGGGAAGGGCCCUCGGUUUGUGAUGCGAGUGGGUACUGGUGGGAUUGUGGGAUCCAAGGGGGAUGGCAUCCCUGAUCGCUUCUCAGGCUCGGGCUCGGGCCUGAAUCGGUACCUGACCAUCAAGAACAUCCAGGAAGAGGAUGAGAGUGACUACCACUGUGGGGCAGACCAUGGCAGUGGGAGCAACUUCGUGUAACCCACAGUGACACAGGCAGAGGGGAGGUGAGACAAAAACCUCCCAGCUGAUCUGCUCUGUCCACACUUCCUUCCCACUGGCCUGACUCACAGGUCAGAGGCCUGUCUCCUAACUCCGUAUUUAAAGUUUUCACCUUCCUAGACAUUUUGGAGUUCUAAUUCACAGCAAAUGUUCCCUGCGUGUAAAUAUUUUCUCAAGAGCUUUUAAACAUUGAAGUUUGCACACCUACAUUUGUGGUUUUUGCCGCUCACCUGUCCUCUGAUGGGAUUUAAGUUUCCAGGUUGUAGAGCUGCUCACAGGUGCAUUUAUAGGGAAAUCACUGUCACCAGCUCCCACUACCUUUGCCCAUAUUCAACAUUUGUGAGCUGCCUAUACGGUGAUGGGAACUGACAAUUUCCCUGGAGACAUAAGGCCUUCACCCUGACUCACAGGGUCACAUAAUCGACGUGGACUUCAGCCAUCUCCAAUCACCUCCAUGUGCACAGAGCUCUCAUGGUGCAUGUGCUUGGCUGUCCUAGAAAGAGAGAAUUGACACACACCGAAGAUAGGAGAAUGUGAGCCUGCUCUGUAUCUGAGAUUCUGGGAGAGGCCCCCACUGCCUUCACAGAAUAAAUUCCUUCACAUGCAGGGAGAGAGCUCUGGUGGAAUCACUCUGCAAUGCCUUCUGAUGACAAAUACCUGGAUUGAGGUCAAAUUUCACGGGUUAAUAACCCUUUUCAAGACUACCUCCACUACAGACUCCAGUUCCCAGGCAUUAAGACUGAGGACCCUUGUAGACAACCAAGAUGGGGCUGUGACCAGCAGGAGCAAUGGGUAACUGUCCCAGGCCCUGCCUUGGGGCUGCUCACAGCUGGGUGAGCCCCACUGGCCACAGGCUGGCAGAGGCUGAGCUGCUCCCUGUGCUCACUGAUGAGACUCAGCAGCCUAGUCCUCUCAGGGUCCAGCAAAGCCUCUUGGGCAGGGUCCUGUGCCUGUUCCCAACAGCUGCUCCCUCGAGGACCCUCCUGGGCCCACACUCAGAGCAGCUCCUUCCUCGACCUCCUCUGUCCUCACAUCCCCUCUUGGGUUCCUGAAUCAGUGAUCAGGUAGGGUCUCAUCUAGCCAGAAGGGAGGGAGUGGAUUUGCAUGAACAGCUUCUUAUUUUCCCUGGGGGAAGAAGGAAAAAUAGUCAAGCCUGGGGAAGCCCAGCCCAACUGUGAGGUCCAGAGGCUGUGUCCACCAUGGCUUGUUGCCUGAACUCCUCUCAUACCCAAUCCUUGGUCUAUGUUUAUAGACUCAAUGAAAAUACCUCCCUUUCUACUGGCCUCUUAAUGCUAACAGAAUCAUUUUGUCCUCUAAGCACAAACAGCCUUUCGGGUUGCUGGGUGGGAUAACAACUAGAGCAGAAGUCCAGCAUGCGCGGCCCCCUUCCUGGCCCAUACAUGUCCCUGCUCUUGGCCCAGUCUUUGCUGGUUACUCCCUGAACUCUGAAACUUCAGGGAAGUUGCGUUUCUCUUUCUCUUGAGGUUGUACUCUUGAGGAGCUCCUGAAUUUCCAGGUAUAGGGUGACCCCUCCUCAUUAAGGACAUGGCUGUCAGACUCAUCCCUGGUUUACUUCCUCAGGUUUAGGUCUGUGAGUUCUAAACAGUUUCCCUAUGUUUCUUUGGUUGAUAUUUUGGUUGAUAUUUCCCUUUGUUUCUUUAGGUUGAUAUUACGUUGGGUAAUUACGUUGGUUGAUUACAUUGGGUAAAUGUAUUCUUGUAGAUAUAAACAUUAUAAACUCUUCCCCCUUAAGCUCUUAAUAAAUAAACUUGUUUGGGUGCCAAUGUACCAAUGUAGGUAA